rnacentral:rRNA from 1 species
UACGUAGGGGGCAAGCGUUGUCCGGAUUUAUUGGGCGUAAAGAGCGUGUAGGCGGCCGCACAGGUCCGUUGUGAAAACUGGAGGCUUAACCUUCAGACGUCGAUGGAAACCGUGCGGCUAGAGUCCGGAAGAGGAGAGUGGAAUUCCUGGUGUAGCGGUGAAAUGCGCAGAUAUCAGGAAGAACACCCGUGGCGAAGGCGGCUCUCUGGGCCGAUACUGACGCUGAGGAGCGAAAGCGUGGGGAGCAAACAGG